rnacentral:rRNA from 1 species
GACGAACGCUGGCGGCGUGCUUAACACAUGCAAGUCGAACGAAGAGCGAUGGAAGCUAGCUUCUAUCAAUCUUAGUGGCGAACGGGUGAGUAACGCGUAAUCAACCUGCCCUUCAGAGGGGGACAACAGUUGGAAACGACUGCUAAUACCGCAUACGAUCUAACCUCGGCAUCGAGGAUAGAUGAAAGGUGGCCUCUACAUGUAAGCUAUCACUGAAGGAGGGGAUUGCGUCUGAUUAGCUAGUUGGAGGGGUAACGGCCCACCAAGGCGAUGAUCAGUAGCCGGUCUGAGAGGAUGAACGGCCACAUUGGGACUGAGACACGGCCCAGACUCCUACGGGAGGCAGCAGUGGGGAAUCUUCCGCAAUGGACGAAAGUCUGACGGAGCAACGCCGCGUGAGUGAUGACGGCCUUCGGGUUGUAAAGCUCUGUUAAUCGGGACGAAAGGCCUUCUUGCGAAUAGUUAGAAGGAUUGACGGUACCGGAAUAGAAAGCCACGGCUAACUACGUG